CCUAUAAGACUGGGAUAACUUCGGGAAACCGGAGCUAAUGCCGGAUAACAUUUGGAACCGCAUGGUUCUAAAGUAAAAGAUGGUUUUGCUAUCACUUAUAGAUGGACCCGCGCCGUAUUAGCUAGUUGGUAAGGUAACGGCUUACCAAGGCAACGAUACGUAGCCGACCUGAGAGGGUGAUCGGCCACACUGGAACUGAGACACGGUCCAGACUCCUACGGGAGGCAGCAGUAGGGAAUCUUCCGCAAUGGACGGAAGUCUGACGGAGCAACGCCGCGUGAGUGAUGAAGGUUUUCGGAUCGUAAAACUCUGUUAUUAGGGAAGAACAAAUGUGUAAGUAACUGUGCACAUCUUGACGGUACCUAAUCAGAAAGCCACGGCUAACUACGUGCCAGCAGCCGCGGUAAUACGUAGGUGGCAAGCGUUAUCCGGAAUUAUUGGGCGUAAAGCGCGCGUAGGCGGUUUCUUAAGUCUGAUGUGAAAGCCCACGGCUCAACCGUGGAGGGUCAUUGGAAACUGGGAAACUUGAGUACAGAAGAGGAAAGUGGAAUUCCAUGUGUAGCGGUGAAAUGCGCAGAGAUAUGGAGGAACACCAGUGGCGAAGGCGACUUUCUGGUCUGUAACUGACGCUGAUGUGCGAAAGCGUGGGGAUCAAACAGGAUUAGAUACCCUGGUAGUCCACGCCGUAAACGAUGAGUGCUAAGUGUUAGGGGGUUUCCGCCCCUUAGUGCUGCAGCUAACGCAUUAAGCACUCCGCCUGGGGAGUACGACCGCAAGGUUGAAACUCAA
rnacentral:rRNA from 1 species